rnacentral:misc_RNA from 1 species
UGGCCUUAUCUCUCACUCUGCCUG